rnacentral:misc_RNA from 1 species
GAUGAAGAACGCAGCGAAAUGCGAUAAGUAAUGUGAAUUGCAGAAUUCAGUGAAUCAUCGAAUCUUUGAACGCAUCUUGCGCUCCUUGGUAUUCUGAGGAGCAUGCCUGUUUGAGUGUCAUUAAAUUCUCAACUACACUGACUUUGAAUUGGUGUGGCUUGGAUUUGGGGGGAAAAUUGUUGUGGGCUUUUUGUAUAGUCUGCUCCCCUGAAAUUGAUUAGCGGUACCUUUGUGGAACUGUCUACAGGUGUGAUAAUUAUCUACAUCUUAGACAUCUGCUGGAAUGCUGCUCUCUAAACCUUACUUGUAUUGACAAUCUUGACCUCAAAUCAGGUAGGACUACCCGCUGAACUUAAGCAUAUCAAUAGCGGAGGA